GAAGGACCCGGCCUACUGUGACACGGUGAAACAGACGCCUCCUUACAACCACGGCACCCGGCUGGUGGAUCUCAUAGACAUGGCUAUACUGGACUUCCUCAUGAGCAACAUGGACAGACAUCACUACGAGACGUUUGAGAAAUUUGGAAAUGAGACUUUUCUGCUGCAUCUGGAUAACGGACGGGCGUUCGGCCGUCACUCUCAGGACGAACCGACUAUUCUAGUUCCUUUGAAACAAUGCUGCAG